rnacentral:rRNA from 1 species
UACGGAGGGUGCAAGCGUUGUCCGGAUUUAUUGGGUUUAAAGGGUGCGUAGGUGGUUUAGUAAGUCUGGUUUGAAAGCUGGUCGCUUAACGAUCAGAUGUGGCUGGAAACUGGUAAACUUGAAUGCGUUGGCGGUAGCCGGAACGGGUCAUGUAGCGGUGAAAUGCAUAGAUAUGACCCAGAACACCGAUUGCGAAGGCAGGCUACUACGACGUGAUUGACACUGAGGCACGAGAGCAUGGGUAGCGAACAGGAUUAGAUACCCUGGUAGUCCAUGCCGUAAACGAUGAUUACUGGCUGUUUGCCUGCAUGGGUGAGUGGCUGAGCGAAAGCGUUAAGUAAUCCACCUGGGGAGUACGCCGGCAACGGUGAA